AUUGAACGCUGGCGGCAGGCCUAACACAUGCAAGUCGAACGGUGACAGGAAGAAGCUUGCUUCUUUGCUGACGAGUGGCGGACGGGUGAGUAAUGUCUGGGAAACUGCCUGAUGGAGGGGGAUAACUACUGGAAACGGUAGCUAAUACCGCAUAACGUCGCAAGACCAAAGAGGGGGACCUUCGGGCCUCUUGCCAUCGGAUGCGCCCAGAUGGGAUUAGCUAGUUGGUGAGGUAACGGCUCACCAAGGCGACGAUCCCUAGCUGGUCUGAGAGGAUGACCAGCCACACUGGAACUGAGACACGGUCCAGACUCCUACGGGAGGCAGCAGUGGGGAAUAUUGCACAAUGGGCGCAAGCCUGAUGCAGCCAUGCCGCGUGUAUGAAGAAGGCCUUCGGGUUGUAAAGUACUUUCAGCGGGGAGGAAGGGAGUAAAGUUAAUACCUUUGCUCAUUGACGUUACCCGCAGAAGAAGCACCGGCUAACUCCGUGCCAGCAGCCGCGGUAACAC
rnacentral:rRNA from 1 species